rnacentral:rRNA from 1 species
UACGUAGGGCGCGAGCGUUGUCCGGAAUUAUUGGGCGUAAAGAGCUCGUAGGCGGCCUGUCGCGUCCGCUGUGAAAACCCGGGGCUUAACCCCGGGCCUGCAGUGGAUACGGGCAGGCUGGAGGCAGGCAGGGGAGAACGGAAUUCCUGGUGUAGCGGUGAAAUGCGCAGAUAUCAGGAAGAACACCCGUGGCUAAGGCGGCUCUCUAGUACGGUACUGACGCUGAGACGCGAAAGCGUGGGGAGCGAACAGG